rnacentral:rRNA from 1 species
GAUGAACGCUGACAGAAUGCUUAACACAUGCAAGUCUACUUGAAUUUGGGUUUUUUAACUUAGAUUUGGGUGGCGGACGGGUGAGUAACGCGUAAAGAACUUGCCUCACAGCUAGGGACAACAUUUGGAAACGAAUGCUAAUACCUGAUAUUAUGAUUAUAAGGCAUCUUAGAAUUAUGAAAGCUAUAUGCGCUGUGAGAGAGCUUUGCGUCCCAUUAGCUAGUUGGAGAGGUAACGGCUCACCAAGGCGAUGAUGGGUAGCCGGCCUGAGAGGGUGAACGGCCACAAGGGGACUGAGACACGGCCCUUACUCCUACGGGAGGCAGCAGUGGGGAAUAUUGGACAAUGGACCAAGAGUCUGAUCCAGCAAUUCUGUGUGCACGAUGACGUUUUUCGGAAUGUAAAGUGCUUCCAGUUGGGAAGAAAGAAAUGACGGUACCAACAGAAGAAGUGACGGCUAAAUACGUGCCAGCAGCCGCGGUAAUACGUAUGUCACGAGCGUUAUCCGGAUUUAUUGGGCGUAAAGCGCGUCUAGGUGGUUAUGUAAGUCUGAUGUGAAAAUGCAGGGCUCAACUCUGUAUUGCGUUGGAAACUGUGUAACUAGAGUACUGGAGAGGUAAGCGGAACUACAAGUGUAGAGGUGAAAUUCGUAGAUAUUUGUAGGAAUGCCGAUGGGGAAGCCAGCUUACUGGACAGAUACUGACGCUAAAGCGCGAAAGCGUGGGUAGCAAACAGG